CACGUAGGGGGCGAGCGUUGUCCGGAUUUAUUGGGCGUAAAGAGCUCGUAGGCGGCUCAGUAAGUCGGGUGUGAAAACUCCAGGCUCAACCUGGAGACGCCACCUGAUACCUGCUGUGGCUAGAGUCCGGUAGGGGAGCAUGGAAUUCCUGGUGUAGCGGUGAAAUGCGCAGAUAUCAGGAGGAACACCGGUGGCGAAGGCGGCAUCCUGGACCAACACUGACGCUGAGGAGCGAAAGCCAGGGGAGCAAACGGG
rnacentral:rRNA from 1 species